GUGGUAAAAAAAUAAAAUUAUAAAAAUUUGCAGCACAGUUCUAUGACAUCCACAUUGUUCUGGAAAGGAAAAGUGUGUGUGUGUGUGUGUGUGUGUGUGUGUGUGUGUGUGUGUGUGGUCAGGUGCUGGCUAUACUUGUGGGGACCGAAUGUCCCCACAACUGUAGGUAAACCGUAAAACGUUUCUUUAGGGUUAGGCAUUGUUUUGGAUAGGGUUAGAGUUAGGGUUAGGGUUAGUUAUGAGGGGCCGUACAAGACUUAAUUCAUUCUCGUCCUCUCACACGCAUAUAUUUCUCUCAUACUCACAUACAUUCUCCUGUGACACACAUACACACGUGGACAAAAUUGUUGGUACCCCUCAGUUAAAGAAGGAAAAACCCACAAUUCUCACUGAAAUCACUUGAAACUCACAAAAGUAACAAUAAAUAAAAAUUUAUUGAAAAUUAAAUAAUCAAAAACAGCCAUUACUUUUGAAUUGUUGAUUAACAUAAUUAUUUAAAAAACAAACUAAUGAAACAGGCCUGGACAAAAAUGAUGGUACCUCUAUAAAAGAUUGAAAACUAUUUGACCAGAGUGACAUGAUUAACUCAGGUGUGUCAUUUAAUUGACAUCACAGGUGUUUCCAAACUCAUAAUCAGUCAGUCUGCCUAUUUAAAGGGAGACAAGUAGUCACCCUGCUGUUUGGUGAAAAGGUGUGUACCACACUGAACAUGGACAACAGAAAGCGAAGGAGAGAAUUGUCCCAGGACAUCCGAAAAAAAAUUAUAGACAAACAUCUUAAAGGUAAAGGCUAUAAGACCAUCUCUAAACAGCUUGAAGUUCCUGUGACAACAGUGGCUCAUAUUAUUUAGAAGUUCAAGACCCACGGGACAGUAGCCAACCUCCCUGGACGUGGCCGCAAGAGGAAAAUUGAUGACAAAUUGAAGAGACGGAUCGUUGGAAUUGUAUCCAAAGAGCCCAGAGCAACCUCCAAAGAAAUUAAAGGUGAACUCCAAGGCCAAGGUACAUCAGUGUCAGAUCGCACCAUUCGUCGUUGUUUGAGCCAAAGUGGACUUCAUGGGAGACGACCAAGGAGGACACCACUGCUGAAAAAAGCUCAUAAAAAAGCCAGACUGGAAUUUGCAAAAAUGCAUGUUGACAAGCCACAAAGCUUCUGGGAGAAUGUCCUUUGGACAGAUGAGACCAAACUGGAGCUUUUUGGUAAGGCACAUCAACUCUAUGUUCAUAGACUCAAAAACCAAGCAUACGAAGAAAAGAACACUGUCCCUACGGUGAAACAUGGAGGAGGCUCAGUAAUGUUUUGGGGCUGCUUUGCUGCAUCUGGCACAGGGUGUCUUGAAAGUGUGCAAGGUAAGAUGAAAUCUGAAGACUAUCAAGGCAUUCUGGAGAGAAAUGUGCUGCCUAGUGUCAGAAAGCUUGGUCUCAGUCGCAGGUCAUGGGUCUUCCAACAGGACAACGAUCCAAAACACACAGCCAAAAACACCCAAGAAUGGCUGAGAGAAAAGCGUUGGACUAUUCUAAAGUGGCCUUCUAUGAGCCCAGAUCUGAAUCCCAUUGAACAUAUGUGGAAGGAGCUGAAACAUGCCAUUUGGAGAAGACACCCAUCAAACCUGAGACAACUGGAGCUGUUUGCUCUUGAGGAGUGGGCCAAAAUACCUGUUGACAGCUGCAGAACGCUCAUUGACAAAUACAGAAAUCGUUUAAUUGCAGUGAUUGCCUCAAAAGGUUGUGCAACAAAAUAUUAAGUUAUGGGUACCAUCAUUUUUGUCCAGCCCUAUUUCAUUAGUUUGUUUUUUUAAAUAAUUAUGUUAAUCAACAAUUCAAAAGUGAUGGCUGAUUUUGAUUACUUCAUUUUCAAUAAAUUUUUAUUUAUUGUUACUUUUGUGAGUUUCAAGUGAUUUCAGUGAGAAUUGUGGGUUUUUCCUUCUUUAACUGAGGGGUACCAACAAUUUUGUUCACGUGUGUACAUUCUCCUUUCACAUACAUAAAUUCUCCUUUCACACACAUAUAUUUUCACUCUCUUACACGCAUACAUUCUCCUCUCACACACAUACAUUAUCCUUUCACAUACAUAUAUUUUCCUUGCACACACAUACAUUCUUCUUUCACAUACAUAUAUUUUAAUAUUCACGCACACACACAUUCUGCUUUCACAUACAUACAUUUUCACUCAUGCACACACAUACAUUCUCCUCUCACAUGCAUAUAUUGUCACACUUGCACGUACAUACAUUCUCCUUUCACAUUCAUACAUUCUCCGAAAUAAAUAGACAUAUAUGUAUAUGUACAAAGAAAAUAUAUGGAUGAAAGAGAAGAAUGUAUGUAUGUAAGAGGAGAAUGUAGGUGUGUGAGAGGAGAAUGUAUGUAUGUGCGAGAGAGAAUAGUGGAAAAGGAAGUAAGUAUAGUGGAAAAGGAAGUCCAUCGUUUUUUGCGCUGUGAUUGGCUGAAAAGCUCAAGUGGGCGGUGAUGUUCAGGUAACGGUUACCAUGGCAGGUGGAGAGGAGUCCCGAGCGCUUCAGCAAGCCAUUGGGGUUUUAAGAAACAUUUUGUCAUGGUUGAUGCUACGGGUACGGACCCGUACCCGUAGCAUCUGUACUAGAGGUACGGACCCGUUAAGGUCACUGAAGAGCUGGCGCCGGUUAACUACUAUUUGCUGCACAUUACAGGCAGUUUAUAUGAAUGACUUUGACGGCGAACAUUGUAUAAUUUAACCAAAAAUACACCGUCUCCUCUCACACUUUAGACAUUGCAGUUUUUACGCUUUUAGACGCCGUGUCUAAAUUGUUUGAAGUCCAGUUCCUAUUAAUUAGUUUACCGCGUAAUAUAUGUGUGUGAAAGGAGAAUGUAUGUGUGUGAGAGGAGAAUGUAUGUGUGUGAGAGGAGAAUGUAUACGUGUAAGAGAGUGAAAAUAUAUGUGUGUGAAAGGAGAAUGUAUGUAUGUGAAAGGAGAAUGUAUGUGUGUCACAGGAGAAUGUAUGUGAGUAUGAGAGAAAAUAUAUGUGUGUGAGAGGACGAGAAUGAAUUAAGUCUAGUACGGCCCCUCAUACGCGCACACAGACACACACAGACACACACACACACACACACACACACAGCAACAGCAGCUCCUUUAUUUCAAACUACCAAUUAGAUACUUAUAGACAUUAUAGCGUCAGCAGCUCCUUCCCCUGCCAUCAGGUAGAGCUGAUGUUUCCUCUUCAUCAUGUGCAGAGUUUUGUUCAUUUAUUUUUGUGCAAAAAAGUUUUAUUGAAAUAUUAAACAAAAGUAAGAAUGCCUGUUUUUGUAACAAAACAAAUGUACAAAAUGAGUCAAUUAUAAGGCUUCUCAUAAAAACACUGAAUGCAAAAGAGUUUGUCAAAACACAAAUGAUUCAUAUUUGCCUGAUUAGGCUAAAUAUGAGGCUACAAACAAUAAUAAAUUAGGAGCCGUUUGGGAGCCGAAAGAACCGGCUUUUCUUUGGUAGCCGUUCCAAAAGCUCUCUGAAAAGAGCUGAACUUCCAUCACUACUGUCCUCUCUGUCCCUCAUCUCUCAACUGGUUUUUGAAGGCAGAGCUGCGAUGCAAUGCAGAGACAUCAUUACCUGAGUAGCGUCACGUGGGAUGCCUGAACUCGUACAUAAUUGGUCUGUGCCUUUCUGAGCUGAUAGACCAAUGAUAAACACUGGAAAGCUGCACCGGUAAAAUAGAAGCGACCUGUCAAAUUUACACCCGUAUAGACAGCGUCUGGGUCCGGAUCCGGACCGCGGUCCGCCUUUUAGUGAGCCCUGUUCUCAGCCAGACACCUUUCCCCGCCCCAUCCAGCUUCACCGCUUCCUGACACAGAUAAGACGAAUUUAUGAACGGGAAAGUGAA